CAGCCGCCGCGGUAAUCCGUAGGUGGCAAGCGUUGUCCGGAAUUAUUGGGCGUAAAGGGCUCGCAGGCGGUUUCUUAAGUCUGAUGUGAAAGCCCCCGGCUCAACCGGGGAGGGUCAUUGGAAACUGGGAAACUUGAGUGCAGAAGAGGAGAGUGGAAUUCCACGUGUAGCGGUGAAAUGCGUAGAGAUGUGGAGGAACACCAGUGGCGAAGGCGACUCUCUGGUCUGUAACUGACGCUGAGGAGCGAAAGCGUGGGGAGCGAACAGGAUUAGAUACCCGCGUAGUCCCUGUCUCUUAUAC
rnacentral:rRNA from 1 species